rnacentral:rRNA from 1 species
UACGUAGGUGGCAAGCGUUGUCCGGAUUUAUUGGGUUUAAAGGGUGCGUAGGCGGUCUAUUAAGUCAGUGCUGAAAUAUCCCGGCUUAACCGGGAGGGUGGCAUUGAUACUGAUGGACUUGAGUAGAGUCGAGGUAGGCGGAAUUGACGGUGUAGCGGUGAAAUGCUUAGAUAUCGUCAAGAACACCGAUAGUGUAGACAGCUUACUAGGCUCAAACUGACGCUGAGGCACGAAAGUGUGGGGGAUCAAACAGG